rnacentral:rRNA from 1 species
CCUACGGGAGGCAGCAGUGAGGAAUAUUGGUCAAUGGACGAGAGUCUGAACCAGCCAAGUAGCGUGAAGGAUGACUGCCCUAUGGGUUGUAAACUUCUUUUAUAUGGGAAUAAAAUGUUCCACGUGUGGGAUUUUGUAUGUACCAUAUGAAUAAGGAUCGGCUAACUCCGUGCCAGCAGCCGCGGUAAUACGGAGGAUCCGAGCGUUAUCCGGAUUUAUUGGGUUUAAAGGGAGCGUAGGUGGAUUGUUAAGUCAGUUGUGAAAGUUUGCGGCUCAACCGUAAAAUUGGAGUUGAAACUGGCAGUCUUGAGUACAGUAGAGGUGGGCGGAAUUCGUGGUGUAGCGGUGAAAUGCUUAGAUAUCACGAAGAACUCCGAUUGCGAAGGCAGUUCACUGGACUGCAACUGACACUGAGGCUCGAAAGUGUGGGUAUCAAACAGGAUUAGAUACCCCUGUAGUC